GGGGGUUUGGUCUAGGGGUAUGAUACUUCAUUUGCAGCUCUAUUCUGUGGGUUUGAAGGGGUCACUGGUUCGAAUCCGGUAUCCUCCA